rnacentral:rRNA from 1 species
GUUGAUAAGGUUAAGUGAAUAAGGGCGCACGGUGGAUGCCUUGGCACUAGGAGCCGAUGAAGGACGGGACUAACACCGAUAUGCUUUGGGGAGCUGUAAGUAAGCUAUGAUCCAGAGAUUUCCGAAUGGGGGAACCCAAUAUCUUUUAUAGGAUAUUACUUUUCAGUGAAUACAUAGCUGAUUAGAGGUAGACGCAGAGAACUGAAACAUCUUAGUACCUGCAGGAAGAGAAAGAAAAUUCGAUUCCCUGAGUAGCGGCGAGCGAAACGGGAAGAGCCCAAACCAACAAGCUUGCUUGUUGGGGUUGUAGGACUCCAAUAUGGUAGUCUGUUAGUAUAGUUGAAGGAUUUGGAAAAUUCCGCUAAAGAGGGUGAAAGCCCCGUAGACGAAAUGCUGACAACACCUAGGAGGAUCCUGAGUACGGCGGAACACGAGAAAUUCCGUCGGAAUCCGCGGGGACCAUCCCGCAAGGCUAAAUACUCCCUAGUGACCGAUAGUGAACCAGUACCGUGAGGGAAAGGUGAAAAGCACCCCGGAAGGGGAGUGAAAUAGAUCCUGAAACCGUGUGCCUACAACAAGUCAAAGCUCGUUAAUGAGUGAUGGCGUGCCUUUUGUAGAAUGAACCGGCGAGUUACGAUUGCAUGCGAGGUUAAGUCGAAGAGACGGAGCCGCAGCGAAAGCGAGUCUGAAUAGGGCGAAUGAGUAUGUAGUCGUAGACCCGAAACCAUGUGAUCUACCCAUGUCCAGGUUGAAGGUGCGGUAAAACGCACUGGAGGACCGAACCCACGUACGUUGAAAAGUGCGGGGAUGAGGUGUGGGUAGCGGAGAAAUUCCAAACGAACUUGGAGAUAGCUGGUUCUCUCCGAAAUAGCUUUAGGGCUAGCCUCGGAAUUGAGAAUGAUGGAGGUAGAGCACUGUUUGGACUAGGGGCCCAUCUCGGGUUACCGAAUUCAGAUAAACUCCGAAUGCCAUUCAUUUAUAUCCGGGAGUC